CCACCUAGUGUGACACAUCAGGGCGGAGGACGGGCUGCUCUGCUCGGGGACUCACAGCGAAGCCAGCCACGCACGGUUACUACUCCAAAGGCCUUUAGAGACCACUGCAGCAUUAUUCUCUUUUACUGGGAAACUUUCAGCAGCAGCAGAAAGUCUCAGCAGUGUCUCGCGAGAGGUCGGAUCACGCUAUCACUGAUAAAACGGGGAGAAAAUGGCAGUAAAUCUGAGCAAGAAUGGCUCCUCACUCAUGGACGCGUACAGGGAGGUGGUGGACGAGAAGUCGGACACAAACUGGGUGCUCUUCACUUAUGAAGGGAACAGUAACGACAUCCGUCUGGCAGAUAAAGGAGAUGGGGAUUAGAGGAGAUGUUGGAGGAGCUGAACAGCGGGAAGGUGAGUAUGCUCGUGCGAUGGGUCCAGGGACCAAACUCGGUCUGCCAAAUAUGUCUCCAAAAAUGGGUGAGACCAAACACACACCACACACACAUUAAACACACAACAAAACUACACAUUACCACCCACACACAAACCACACACACACACACACAACCCAA